rnacentral:rRNA from 1 species
AUUGAACGCUGGCGGCAGGCCUAACACAUGCAAGUCGAGCGGGGCGGCGGGCGGAUGAGUAAGGCAUAGGAAUCUGACUGGUCGUGGGGGAUAAGGUAAGCCAAGGGGCGCUAAUCCAGCAUACUAUCAGAUGCGCCUAGGUCGGAUUGGCUAGUUGUUGGGGUAAUGGUCUAUCACGGCGACGAUCCGUAACUGGUCUGCGAGGAGGAGCCGGCACCCUGGAACUGAGACACGGUCCAGACUCCUAAGGGAGGCAGUAGUGGGGAAUGUUGGACAAUGGGCGAAAGCCUGAUGCAUCCAUGCCGCGGGUGUGAAGAAGGUCUUCGGAUUGUAAAGCAUUUUAAGUUGUGAGGCGUUACCAACAGAAUAAGCACCGGCUAACUUCGUGCCAGCAGCCGCGGUAAUAC